CAGUCGCCGCGGGAAUACGUAGGGUGCAAGCGUUAAUCGGAAUUACUGGGCGUAAAGCGUGCGCAGGCGGUUUGUUAAGACAGAUGUGAAAUCCCCGGGCUCAACCUGGGAACUGCAUUUGAAACUGUCAGGCUGGAGUCUUGUAGAGGGGGGUAGAAUUCCAGGUGUAGCGGUGAAAUGCGUAGAGAUCUGGAGGAAUACCGGUGGCGAAGGCGGCCCCCUGGACAAAGACUGACGCUCAGGUGCGAAAGCGUGGGGAGCAAACAGGAUUAGAUACCCGAGUAGUCCCUGUCUCUUAUAA
rnacentral:rRNA from 1 species